rnacentral:rRNA from 1 species
UACGUAGGUCGCAAGCGUUGUCCGGAUUUAUUGGGCGUAAAGAGCGCGUAGGCGGCUGGUCAAGUCCGAUGUGAAAUCUCCCGGCUCAACUGGGAAACUGCAUCGGAAACUGAUCGGCUUGAAGGUGGGAGAGGGUAGUGGAAUUCCCGGUGUAGUGGUGAAAUGCGUAGAUAUCGGGAGGAACACCAGUGGCGAAGGCGACUACCUGGCCCAUUCUUGACGCUGAGGCGCGAAAGCUAGGGGAGCGAACGGG